GACGAACCGUGCGAACGUUGUUCGGAUUCACUGGGCUUAAAGGGCGCGUAGGCGGGCAAUCAAGUCAGGGGUGAAAGCCUCCAGCUUAACUGGAGAAGUGCCUCUGAUACUGGUCGUCUUGAGGGAGGUAGGGGCAUGUGGAACUUCCGGUGGAGCGGUGAAAUGCGUAGAUAUCGGAAGGAACGCCGGUGGCGAAAGCGGUGCACUGGGGUUGGUCUGACGCUGAGGCACGAAAGCCAGGGGAGCGAACGGG
rnacentral:rRNA from 1 species